GCGGACAGGUAAGGGUGGGUGGAAGGAACGCCGCUGGCUUGUCGUUGUUCACACCGCGCUGGAGAAAGAGGAGAGGGAUGUGCGGGGCCAGAUGGGAGCGCCGCUGGCUCGUCAUCGUUCACACCGCACUGGGCCAGAGAUGCUUCUGUACAGCCCUCACGUCUGUAGGUCCCUCCUUCAUUCCUGUUGCUUCCCUCUUUUGAUUAGCUGUAACUGCAUGUUUGGGUCAGUGAUAUGCCUGUUGCCGCUGGGCAGUACUUUAGGCAAGCCAACCAUCCAAUUUAGUCUCUAUUAGCACAAGGAGAAGUGCCCCUGUUGGCUUUUCUUUUUGUGGAUUAGAACAAUAAUCUACAUUAGUCGAUUUGUGGGUAUGUUGAAUAUGAUAUUUAAUGAAGAUGGUCAUUCUUGUUGUUCAGAGUACACAAGUGGUUGCCCAUGAGGCCUCCUCCUGCUCGGCUUAUUCAUUGAGGUAGGAUUUUGAUUGUCUCAAUUUGUCGCUUCAGUUCCACAUUAACCAUGAAUUGUUGCGUGUAAAUGCUCAUAUCCCGUUAAGUUCAUGUGUAUAAAUCAAGUGGGUUGAAGUGUGUUGUGAAUUUCCUGAAGAAAUUCACAUGCAUGGUGUGGAUUGUUGAGUUUGCUUGGUUAACAGAAUGCCAUGCCUAUGUAGAUUGGCAGGGGGAAGGUCCAGGGUGAAACCUUCAGGAGGGAUUUGAUGUUGAUAUUGUUUCAGUUUGUAGAUGGAGGAUGUGAUUCCAGCAAGACAGAGACGAUGGCGAUGACAAGUGAGAUUUAUGUUAAGGAGUAUUAGCAUAUGCUCACAGGAUCACUGGAAGCUUAUAAAGGUAUCUACAAUGAUUGUUGCUUUCUUAUCGACACAUCAUCGAAUUAUAAUUAUUGGCAGUAAGAGUACUUGUCUUUUCAUUUGUUAGAAAACAUAGUGUACCUUUAUAAUCAUAAUUAUAUGCAAUGAUCCAUCAUGUAUUUUUGUUUAAAACCGCAACCCGUAAUUGUUUGAUGUCAUGAAAUGUCUAUAUAUAUUUUUGUUUACAUUCUUAAAUUAGCCUCCAUACUAUCUGCAUUGUCAUGGUAACCUUGGUAGGUCAUAAUAUGUAGAUCGAUAAUCCCGGUUCAAUUUGAGCUUUCCAUGUGAUUUUUUACCUGAAUUUUAGGAUCACAAUUUAACUUAACUUAAAUUAGCUGUAUAGUGCCAAUGGGCAUCAUCUGAAGCUAAUAAGAUGUUGUUUAUUGAAGAACAACCCUUGCUACUUGCACAGUACGUGAAAAGCACACUAAAUAGAUUAAAGAAAUCAUACAUGACUGUGAUUGCAUUUGGUUGACGCUUACGUGUAUUUCUCAUGGGUAGACCAAGGGCGUAAUGAUCUAUAUUUCAGGUCCAAGCUUUCAAUGCAUUUUUUAUCUAUUUUUCAUGUCCCAAUGAUCAUCUGCAAGGCCGAAUUAUGCCAUUGUUGAUGGUGCACAUGUAUGUUGCAUGGUAAACCCAGUAUUGGCCCUCCUUUCAAGCUCCUUUGUUCAUCCUAGAGAAAAUCCUGGAAAAUACGUCGGAACUAUCUUUUAAUCUUCCAAUAGUGUAUUGCUACGAUUAUAUAUAUGGAUACAUCAUAUCGAUGUGUCUAGAGACCUAAAGCCGAGUUAAGUGCCAAACUGGGGACUGAUGUUAUAACUGCAGAUGGGCUUUAUUCAGCUUUUUUUCUUGCCUAGAAUGAUGAUGUUUGCAGAUGGGCUUUGUUCAGCCAUAAGAGCUUAUCGGUUCAUCCUGCAUACUUUUGUUUCUUCAGUGUAUUGUGUCUGAGGAAAACAUUUAUUUUGUUUCCUGUUUAAGUGAAUUCAUGGCUGAGAUGGACGAAUUUCUAUUGUGUGGGCUGGAGGUUCUUUAGUUAGGGCACUAGCACUACCUAAGCUUCCAUUCUGGUAAAAUGUAUGACAUGCCUGAUGAGCAUGCAUAUCUAUAUGGUUUUGUGGACACCGAUUUAGUUCCACGCCAGUUUAUUUCCAGCAGUUGGUCUGCUUCUUCAUAGAGAUUUUAUUAGUACUACAUUAAAUUAGAAAUUGAAUGUGUGCUUCUUUCACCUUCAGUCUGAACAUGACAUUGCCUUAUUUGUGACAUAGGUGGAAAUUAGCAAGCAAGCUACAGUUGAUGCAUGGAUGACCAAGUUUACUUAUUACUUUAUGAAGAUGAUGAUUCCUGCAUGUUGAUUGUGCUUCAAGGUACAGCUAUUCGUACCUUACAAAAUUAUAAUGCUUUUAUCCUAGGACCAAAAGUUUGAUUCAUAGAUAGCCGAAGAACUGAGGUUUUUUACUCUCUGUCGUUGCAAGGUCGAAGAGGAUGGGAGGAGGGGAAGUGCGCUCUAUAUUUUGUUAUGCACACCUUUCUAAACUAUACUUGUCUUCUUAACACAUGUUCAUUGUCCAGUAGAAGCUGUAGAUUUCAGCGUACAAUAAUUUCCAAAACGGUAGAAGGUAAGAACCAUGUUACACAUGAUCCUUUUGUGUUUUCUUGAUUUAAAGUAGCAUGUACCUGUUAAACUUGGAGAUGAUUUUCGUGGUGUAUUUAUAAAUUAUCAGCCAAGGUUAUUCCUUCAGGCAAUUUUUUCUUCCCUGAAGCCUAGGCAUAUUGGUUGGUUGGUUGGCUCUAUUUACUAGCACGAAGAUAACUACUAUGUGUUGCUUAGUUAUUAGCGGAUCGAGUGUAUGAAUGAUCUUAUGUUCACCCAGACUUAUAAGUUUCUAAAUACUAGGCUCUUGGGACUUAUUUCUAAGGGUUAGUUUUUUUCUGGAUUCAUGUACUCUGGUGCUACAACCUAGGUAAAGCUCCUUCACAAUAGUGUUUUAAGCUUAAAUUGAUAACUCAAUCAAAGUUAAAGCAUUAGGCUCUCUGCUCUGUGUACGGCCCAAGUGUUCUACAUAAUGCUUUAUAUAGUCCCAAUGUGACUUCUUUGUUUUCUUAGCGGUCGGUGAUAUUUAAUAUUCAGUCAGAUCUUGGAGGAAAUGAAAAAUAUGCGAGUGUGUGUGCAUGUGUAUGUGUGCGUGUGUGCAUGCACACGCGCGUGUGUGUGUUUGUUUUCUCCUGUUUUGGUUUUAGUGCAGUAGCUGAAAGUUUAUGUAUAGUCAAAUUUAAUUGACUAACUGGAGGGUUCAUAUAUCUGUAUGAAAAUAAGCUAAUACAAACGCAAAAUUGUUGAAUGCAUUAAUCUUCGUUCAGUGUGUGACCCAUAGUUAAUGCACAUUCUUGCAUUAGAAAGAAAAUGGAUAACCUUCUGAAAUGCUGAACUUCCUAGAACUUCUCUUUUCAUAAGAAAAUAAACUGUCGAUGAUGUGAAUAGAAGCACCUGUAGUACCACUGACCUUUGGCAACCUACGUGUCGUGCCUCCAAGGCAGGCCAUGAGUGAUGGCUGCCGUGAUGUCAGCCUUGCAAAAAAAAGGGCUUUGUUGACUGAUGGCUAGCUAUAGUUUGUGUUUGUUGUUUACAUGACAGUUUUUUAACCAUUUGACCUAUCUUUUAUAGACGGUAUAGUUCACAAAAACUAAACUUUUGAUAGAAAGUACAUGGGUUUAUAGUAGACCAUUCUAGACCAUAUCUCUUGAAUACAUAGUUUAUAAUAUUUUCUGGUUUUAAAUACUCCCUCUGUCCCAAAAUUCUUGUCUUAGAUUUGUCUAGAUACGGAUGAAUCAAGUCACAUUUUAGUAUUAGAUACAUCCGAAUCUAGACAAAUAUAAGACAAGAAUUUUGGGAGGGAGGGAGUAUAUGAGAGUGCCCAUCUUACUUAGUGGCAAUGCUAUGCUUCAGAGUAUACAAUGUUUUGCAUACCAGUAUAAUUCAUAAGUGGUUUUUCGUAUUCAGGUGUUACUAAUAUGGUGAGUGAUUUAAGGGGAGGCAUGGGGAGAAGAGCAGUCCAAAUGGUGGAUGGAGCAUGUGACCUGUUGAUGUUAGUUUCCAUUUUCGGAAAGAACAAAUUUUCUAUAAUUUGAGUGUAUGGUGAUGUGUUAAAGUCAAUCAUUUGGAUUCCCAACUAGACCAUUGUGUGUGUUCUUUAUUUUAUUGUGCAUUGAUAAAAUAUUUCAGUGCCCGUGUGCACCAAGUUGAAUUUUGAAACAGAUGAGGGGACAACACUGCAUAAGGGAGUUUACCCUUCAGGAAUGUUCUUGUUUGCUGCUGUGAUUAAUAGUAGGAAAUUUUAUACCUAUAGCAGAACAG
rnacentral:lncRNA from 1 species